rnacentral:rRNA from 1 species
AUUGAACGCUGGCGGCAGGCCUAACACAUGCAAGUCGAAAGCGGGGCGGAAGGGUGAGUAAUGUCUGGGAAACUGCCCGCUGGCGGGGGAUAAAUACUGGAACCGGUAGCUAAUACCGCAUACUAUAGGAUGUGCCCAGAUGGGAUUAGCUAGUAGGUGGGGUAACGGCUCACUUAUGCGACGAUCCCUAGCUUGUCUGAGAGGAUGACCAGCCACACUGGAAUGGAGACACGGUCCAGACUCCUACGGGAGGCAGCAUUGGGUAUGAUUGCUCAAGGGGAGCUAGCCUGAUGCAGCCAUGCCGCGUGUAUGAAGAAGUCCUUCGGGUUGUAAAGUACUUUCAGCGAGGAGGCGUUACUCGCAGAAGAAGCACAGGCUAACUCCGUGCCAGCAGCCUCGGUAAUAC